UACGUAGGUGACCAGCGUUGUCCGGAUUUACUGGGCGUAAAGAGCGCGCAGGCGGUCGUUCAAGUCGAGUGUGAAAGCCCCCGGCUCAACUGGGGAGGGUCACUCGAUACUGAUCGACUUGAAGGCAGGAGAGGGAAGCGGAAUUCCCGGUGUAGUGGUGAAAUGCGUAGAUAUCGGGAGGAACACCAGUGGCGAAGGCGGCUCCUGGACAGUUACUGACGCUGAGACGCGAAAGCGUGGGGAGCAAACAGG
rnacentral:rRNA from 1 species